UACGGAGGGUGCGAGCGUUAUCCGGAUUCACUGGGUUUAAAGGGUGCGUAGGCGGAAUGAUAAGUCAGUGGUGAAAUCCCUUCGCUUAACGAAGGAACUGCCAUUGAUACUGUCAAUCUUGAGUACAUUUGAUGUGGGCGGAAUGUGUCAUGUAGCGGUGAAAUGCUUAGAUAUGACACAGAACACCGAUUGCGAAGGCAGCUCACAAAACUGUAACUGACGCUGAGGCACGAAAGCGUGGGUAUCAAACAGG
rnacentral:rRNA from 1 species